rnacentral:rRNA from 1 species
GCCUACGGGUGGCUGCAGUGGGGAAUUUUGCGCAAUGGGGGCAACCCUGACGCAGCAACGCCGCGUGAGUGAUGAAGGCCUUUGGGUCGUAAAGCUCUGUCAGAGGGAAAGAAAUGUGGGCGACUAAUAAUUGUUCCACUUGACGGUACCCUCAAAGGAAGCACCGGCUAACUCCGUGCCAGCAGCCGCGGUAAUACGGAGGGUGCGAGCGUUGUUCGGAAUUAUUGGGCGUAAAGCGCGUGUAGGCGGCUUAUUAAGUCUGAUGUGAAAGCCCUGGGCUCAACCUGGGAAGUGCAUUGGAUACUGGUAGACUUGAGUACGGGAGAGGGCAGUGGAAUUCCCAGUGUAGGAGUGAAAUCCGUAGAUAUUGGGAGGAACACCGGUGGCGAAGGCGGCUGCCUGGACCGAUACUGACGCUGAGACGCGAAAGCGUGGGGAGCAAACAGGAUUAGAUACCCUUGUAGUCC